rnacentral:rRNA from 1 species
CUUUAACAUGCAGUCGACGGCAGCGCGAGAGAGCUUGCUCUCUUGGCGGCGAGUGGCGGACGGGUGAGUAAUAUAUCGGAACGUGCCCAGUAGCGGGGGAUAACUACUCGAAAGAGUGGCUAAUACCGCAUACGCCCUACGGGGGAAAGGGGGGGAUCGCAAGACCUCUCACUAUUGGAGCGGCCGAUAUCGGAUUAGCUAGUUGGUGGGGUAAAGGCUCACCAAGGCAACGAUCCGUAGCUGGUUUGAGAGGACGACCAGCCACACUGGGACUGAGACACGGCCCAGACUCCUACGGGAGGCAGCAGUGGGGAAUUUUGGACAAUGGGGGAAACCCUGAUCCAGCCAUCCCGCGUGUAUGAUGAAGGCCUUCGGGUUGUAAAGUACUUUUGGCAGAGAAGAAAAGGUAUCUCCUAAUACGAGAUACUGCUGACGGUAUCUGCAGAAUAAGCACCGGCUAACUACGUGCCAGCAGCCGCGGUAAUACGUAGGGUGCAAGCGUUAAUCGGAAUUACUGGGCGUAAAGCGUGUGUAGGCGGUUCGGAAAGAAAGAUGUGAAAUCCCAGGGCUCAACCUUGGAACUGCAUUUUUAACUGCCGAGCUAGAGUAUGUCAGAGGGGGGUAGAAUUCCACGUGUAGCAGUGAAAUGCGUAGAUAUGU